rnacentral:rRNA from 1 species
GGAAAGGUGAAAAGAACCCCGAACAGGGGAGUGAAAUAGAACCUGAAACCAUACGCUUACAACCGGUCGGAGCAGCUUCGUGCUGUGACGGCGUGCCUAUUGAAUAAUGAGCCUACGAGUUACUAAUCACUGGCGAGGUUAAGUGCACGGAUGCACGGAGCCGAAGCGAAAGCGAGUCUUAAUAGGGCGUUUAGUCAGUGGUUGUAGACGCGAAACCUUGCGAUCUACCCUUGAGCAGGUUGAAGGUUGGGUAAAACCAACUGGAGGACCGAACGAAUAAGCGUUGAAAAGCUUCUCGAUGACUUGAGGGUAGGGGUGAAAGGCUAAUCAAGCUGGGAAAUAGCUCGUACUCCCCGAAAUGCCUUUAGGGGCAGCGUUGUAAUUGAGAGUCUACUGGAGGUAGAGCUACUGAUUGGAUGCGGGGGCUUCACCGCCUACCAAAUCCUGACAAACUCCGAAUGCCAGUAGUAUGAUUUACAGCAGUGAGCGACCGGGUGCUAAUGUCCGGUCACAAAAGAGGAACAACUCAGACCAGCAACUAAGGUCCCCAAGAGUAUGCUAAGUUGAUCUAACGAUGUUUUGUUGCAGAGACAGCUAGGAUGUUAGCUUGGAAGCAGCUAUUCAUUCAAAGAGUGCGUAACAGCUCACUAGUCGAGCGACAGAGCGUGGAUAAUAAACGGGCAUCAAGCAUAUCACCGAAGUUCUGGGCGCGAGAGCGCGGUAGGGGAGCAUUCCAUUCAGCGUCGAAGCAGUUUCGUGAGGAAUUGUGGAGCGUAUGGAAAAGCAAAUGUAGGCAUGAGUAACGAUAAUGCGGGAGAGUAACCCGCACACCGCAAGACCAAGGUUUCCUGAUCAACGCUAAUCGGAUCAGGGUUAGUCGGGUCCUAAGGGUAAGCCGAACGGCGAUCUCGAUGGAUAAUCGGUUAAUAUUCCGAUACUAACAUAUACCUCGAUGGAGAGACGAAGGAACGUAAGUGCCGCCACCUGACGGAAUAGGUGGUUAAAGGGCGUAGGUAUAGGGGCAGAUUAAGAGUUAGUCCUUGCUGAAACCUGACAGUACAGAGAGCCUACGGGCAAUUUGAUAGAGCACCCAAGUCGACUUCCGAGAAAAUCUUCUAAGUUAUAGUAUAUGUUACCCGUACCGUAAACCGACACAGGUGGUCGAGGAGAGUAUCCUAAGGUGCUCGAGUGAAUCACGGUUAAGGAACUAGGCAAAUUAACCCCGUAACUUCGGGAAAAGGGGUCCCUAUGAAAGUAGGGCGCAGCGAAGAGGUCCAGGCGACUGUUUAUCAAAAACACAGGGCUCUGCAAAUUCGAAAGAAGACGUAUAGGGCCUGACACCUGCCCGGUGCUGGAAGGUUAAGAGGGGAUGUCAUCGCAAGAGAAGCAUUGAAUCGAAGCCCCAGUAAACGGCGGCCGUAACUAUAACGGUCCUAAGGUAGCGAAAUUCCUUGUCGGGUAAGUUCCGACCUGCACGAAUGGUGUAACGAUCUGGACACUGUCUCAACCGUGAGCUCGGUGAAAUUGUAGUCCCGGUGAUGAUGCCGGGUACCCGCAACGGGACGAAAAGACCCCGUGAACCUUUACUAUAGCUUAACGCUGAAUUUGGGUACACAAUGUGUAGGAUAGGCCGGAGGCUUUGAAGCGGGCACGCCAGUGUUCGUGGAGCCGACGUUGAAAUACGGCCCUUUGUGUAUUUGAGUUCUAACCCUGCGAAGGGGACACCGUUUGGUGGGUAGUUUGACUGGGGUGGUCGCCUCCAAAAGCGUAACGGAGGCUUCCCAAGGUACCCUCAGCACGAAUGGUAACCGUGCGCAGAGUGCAAUAGCAUAAGGGUGCUUGACUGUGAGACAUACAAGUCGACCAGGUACGAAAGUAGGGUAUAGUGAUCCGGUGGUUCUGCGUGGACUGGCCAUCGCUCAAAGGAUAAAAGGUACUCCGGGGAUAACAGGCUGAUCGCCGCCAAGAGCUCAUAUCGACGCGGCGGUUUGGCACCUCGAUGUCGGCUCGUCACAUCCUGGGGCUGGAGAAGGUCCCAAGGGUU